UGUGCAGCCUGGGCCUCCAUUCUGCACUGGUGUCAUGUGGUGAGUCGGUGCCGGCCAGAAUCCUGAAAGACCUGAUCCCCAACACCAGCUCCCCAAAUCCUCGACUCUUGAAAAAUCAAAAUCUAACAUUUUGGUGUUUUGGCCGAUUUCUUUGUGAAUGGUUCAUCGCGUGUGACUCAUACACGUGAGUGAGCACACCCAUGUGUCUGCGGCUGAGAAAAUGUUAUGAUCUCAACUUUAUCAGGGUGUCGGCAUUCAGAACCGUGUCCAGGGAUCGUGGUCCAGACCCACAGGCCUGGGCAUGUGCUUUCGAGGGUUCCGAAGACAACUCAACAGUGUGCCCAACCUGCUGGUUUUUUCCAGAAGCGUUUGGUGGUGUUAGAUCCCCUCCGUAGUCUCUGCACUGGGGUAGAAAUUCUGCCUUUAUGCAUCGGACCCGCUCCUGAUUCUCUGGAAUCAGAUCUGUCCCUACGGACAGACCAAGCUUCCCGGAUGCCAGCGGUGUUGGGGAAGCCGACGCUGCUCCUGCAGCAGGACGCCUGAGGACACGGCCUGCUCCCUCACGUCAAAACAGCCUCUGGGUCCUUGUCCCAGGGCAGAACAGCCUCUCCUAAGUGCGAACGGGGAACAGAGGAUUAACACUGUCACCUAAGGCAGAAGCCCUGCAAGCCCGUGGGUGCUCAAGGCCGAUUUUUUACCCUCCAUGACCACAAAAGAAACCAUUCUUUGUUGGGGUAGAAGAGCAUGAACCCUCUUUAGAACAGGUAGUGUUGGCUGGGCGCAGUGGCUCAUGCCUGUAAUCCCAGCACUUUGGGAGGCGGGGGCAGGCAGAUCACCUGAGGUCAGGAGUUCAAGACCAGUCUGG